GAUGAACGCUGGCGGCGUGCCUAAUACAUGCAAGUAGAACGCUGAAGGAGGAGCUUGCUCUUCUGGAUGAGUUGCGAACGGGUGAGUAACGCGUAGGUAACCUGCCUGGUAGCGGGGGAUAACUAUUGGAAACGAUAGCUAAUACCGCAUGACAACAGUUAUUGCAUGAUAACUGUUUAAAAGGGGCAACUGCUCCACUACCAGAUGGACCUGCGUUGUAUUAGCUAGUUGGUGAGGUAACGGCUCACCAAGGCGACGAUACAUAGCCGACCUGAGAGGGUGAUCGGCCACACUGGGACUGAGACACGGCCCAGACUCCUACGGGAGGCAGCAGUAGGGAAUCUUCGGUAAUGGACGGAAGUCUGACCGAGCAACGCCGCGUGAGUGAAGAAGGUUUUUGGAUCGUAAAGCUCUGUUGUAAGAGAAGAACGAGUGUGAGAGUGGAAAGUUCACACUGUGACGGUAUCUUACCAGAAAGGGACGGCUAACUACGUG
rnacentral:rRNA from 1 species